rnacentral:rRNA from 1 species
AACGAACGCUGGCGGCAGGCUUAACACAUGCAAGUCGAGCGCCCCGCAAGGGGAGCGGCAGACGGGUGAGUAACGCGUGGGAAUCUACCCAUCUCUACGGAAUAACGCAUGGAAACGUGUGCUAAUACCGUAUACGUCCUUCGGGAGAAAGAUUUAUCGGAGAUGGAUGAGCCCGCGUUGGAUUAGCUAGUUGGUGGGGGAAAGGCCUACCAAGGCGACGAUCCAUAGCUGGUCUGAGAGGAUGAUCAGCCACACUGGGACUGAGACACGGCCCAGACUCCUACGGGAGGCAGCAGUGGGGAAUAUUGGACAGUGGGCGCAAGCCUGAUCCAGCCAUGCCGCGUGAGUGAUGAAGGCCCUAGGGUUGUAAAGCUCUAUCACCGGUGAAGAUAAUGACGGUAACCGGAGAAGAAGCCCCGGCUAACUUCGUGCCAGCCGCCGCGGUAAUAC